AUGUGUUGUGCUAAUAAACAAGGUUUUCAUUUUGUUUUAGUAAAGAAAGCGGAAAUUUUAUAAAAGACAACCAUUUAACUUAAUUAGUUACUGGUAAACAUCAUAAUUCAUUAGUAAGUAGGUAGGUAAUUAAAGUAAAUUCUUGGAAUAGUCAUAUAUCUACAUCGAUAGGUAUUAAAGAAUAGUGUUUAUCGCGCAACCUUUUAAUAGUGUAUAUAUAACCUGGCGACCUUUAAAUGCUUGGUUAUUGUCUUGCGUUUGAUUCACCAGACAACAUGUUUCGACAAAUUUUUGUUUUUGCAACUAUGUUAAUAGCGUCAGGCGUGUGCCUGUCAACCGGACCAGAAAAGACGCCUGAAGUACACAUUGAUUGUGGCGCUAUUCCGUAUAUCUACAGCCCUGUGUGCGGGUCUGAUGGCCAAACAUAUGCAAACGAUGCUGUGCUAAGAUGCCAUAAUCUACAGCAAGAAGCUAAUUCGCGACAUACCGUUACUGUUGUGAAACACGGCAAAUGUGAUUAGUGGUGACUAUUUAUAUAGUUUAAUAAAGUUACCUAUGAAGUAAAUAUAAAUAAUCCAUCAUCUUGGUCCAUCUUUGAACUUUUGUAAGACUCAUUAUACUUAGGUACCUUCCUACUACUAACAUUUAUUAUAAUACUAGCGACCCGCCCCGGCUUCGCUCGGGUGCAAUGCUGAGGAAAAAAUUGAAAUUAUUUACGACAUCACAUUAAAAACCUCAAAAAAUA